AUUGAACGCUGGCGGCAGGCCUAACACAUGCAAGUCGAGCGGGUGAAGGGAGCUUGCUCCUGGAUUCAGCGGCGGACGGGUGAGUAAUGCCUAGGAAUCUGCCUGGUAGUAGGGGAUAACGUCCGGAAACGGGCGCUAAUACCGCAUACGUCCUGAGGGAGAAAGUGGGGGAUCUUCGGACCUCACGCUAUCAGAUGAGCCUAGGUCGGAUUAGCUAGUUGGUGGGGUAAAGGCCUACCAAGGCGACGAUCCGUAACUGGUCUGAGAGGAUGAUCAGUCACACUGGAACUGAGACACGGUCCAGACUCCUACGGGAGGCAGCAGUGGGGAAUAUUGGACAAUGGGCGAAAGCCUGAUCCAGCCAUGCCGCGUGUGUGAAGAAGGUCUUCGGAUUGUAAAGCACUUUAAGUUGGGAGGAAGGGCAGUAAGUUAAUACCUUGCUGUUUUGACGUUACCAACAGAAUAAGCACCGGCUAACUUCGUG
rnacentral:rRNA from 1 species